rnacentral:rRNA from 1 species
AUCUGAAACCGUUAUGAGGGAAGCGGAUUGCGUUGAAUUGACGGGUGCCGGUGUGUUCAGCUUGCUUCGGCGGGUGUAGUGACAUUGGAUGCUUAUUUGCUGUGAAUUUCUGGUCGCUGAUUGUGGGCAGCUGGAGGUUGAGGGCUCCAUGAAUUUUUGUGUGAGGACAGCAGAGUGACGACGCGAUACGACCCGUCUUGAAACACGGACCAAGGAGUCUAGCACGGCUGCGAGUCUGAGGGUGCAAGCUCGAGGGCGCAGUGAAAGCAAUGCAGAAUGUGUCAGUUUAGGGCGGCAGGCGAUCGUUGAUUGCAUGUCCGACCCGGAGCAGUCGUGGUGGUACCCGAAAGAUGGUGAACUAUUCCUGAGUAGGGUGAAGCCGGAGGAAACUCUGGUGGAGGCCCGUAGCGGUGCUGACGUGCAAAUCGCUCGUCAAACUUGGGUAUAGGGGCGAAAGACUAAUCGAACCAUCUAGUAGCUGGUUCCCUCCGAAGUUUCUCUCAGGAUAGCGGGCCGACAUGUGGGUUGUUUUGUGCGGUAAAGCGAAUGAUUAGCGCACUCGGGGGCUUAGGCCUUCGGGCGAUUCUCAAACUUUAAAUGCGCAAGGGCGUCGCUGCGUGGAGAGCGGCGCCAUGAAAAACGUCGGCCCUGUGGGCCACUU